UGGGGAAUAUUGCACAAUGGGCGCAAGCCUGAUGCAGCCAUGCCGCGUGUAUGAAGAAGGCCUUCGGGUUGUAAAGUACUUUCAGUCGGGAGGAAGGUGGUAAGGUUAAUAACCUUAUCAAUUGACGUUACCGACAGAAGAAGCACCGGCUAACUCCGUGCCAGCAGCCGCGGUAAUACGGAGGGUGCAAGCGUUAAUCGGAAUUACUGGGCGUAAAGCGCACGCAGGCGGUUGAUUGAGUCAGAUGUGAAAUCCCCGGGCUUAACCCGGGAAUUGCAUCUGAUACUGGUCAGCUAGAGUCUUGUAGAGGGGGGUAGAAUUCCAUGUGUAGCGGUGAAAUGCGUAGAGAUGUGGAGGAAUACCGGUGGCGAAGGCGGCCCCCUGGACAAAGAAUGACGCUCAGGUGCGAAAGCGUGGGGAGCAAACAGG
rnacentral:rRNA from 1 species